rnacentral:rRNA from 1 species
UACGUAGGCAGCGAGCGUUGUUCGGAGUUACUGGGCGUAAAGAGUGCGUAGGCGGUUUUCUAAGUUUGGUGUGAAAUCUCCCGGCUUAACUGGGAGGGUGCGCCGAAGACUGGAAGGCUUGAGUAUGGGAGAGGUAAGCGGAAUUCCUGGUGUAGCGGUGAAAUGCGUAGAUAUCAGGAGGAACACCGGUGGCGAAGGCGGUUCGUUCUGGGCGAUGUCCUGACGCUGAGGAGCGAAAGUGUGGGGAGCGAACAGG